GAUGAACGCUGGCGGCGUGCCUAAUACAUGCAAGUCGAGCGAACAGACGCGGAGUUUGCUCCUCUGACGUUAGCCGCGGACGUGUGAGUCACACGUGUAUAACCUCCCUAUAAGACUGGUAUCACUUCGGGAAACCGGAGCUAAUCCCGGAUAAUCUCUUGCACCGCAUGGUUCAUUAGUGAAAGUCGGUUUUGCUGUCACUUAUAGAUGCAUCUGCGCUGCAUUAGCUAGUUGUUACGUUAACGGCUUACCAAGGCAACGAUGCGUAACCGAGCUGAUAGGGUGAUCGGCGACACUGGAACUGAGACACGGUCCAGACGACUAAGGGAGGCAGCAGUAGGGAAUCUUCCGCAAUGGGCGAAAGCAUGACGGAGCAACGCGGAGUGAGUGAUGAAGGUCUUCGGAUCGUAAAAAUCUGUUAUUAGGGAAGAACAAAUGUGUAAGUAACUGUGCACGGCUUGACGGUAACUAAUAAGAAAGCAACGGCUAACUACGUG
rnacentral:rRNA from 1 species